rnacentral:lncRNA from 1 species
AGACACCUUAUUUGUCACCUUUGGCUUCACCAGUCUUGAAAAAGACUCAAUCUUUGGAGGGUUACAAUCACCAGGGAUUCAAUCCUUUCUUCGAAUCUUCUACAGAUGCAGAGAUUAACAAGUUGAGAUUGUCACCACCUCCAAAGCUCAAGUUUCUCAAGGAUGCUGAGAUGAAACUGAUGAAUAAAUUGAUGGAAGAUGCUGUGAGAAAGUGCCAUGAGAAAGAUGCUACAUUUCUUACAGCUUCAGAGUCAAAUUCUACUGCUUCUUCACAGGUACUCCCACUGGCAACUUCUCCUCCAGCAUUCAAUAUUGUUGCUAAAAAAUCCAAUGUACAAUAGCUUCAAGUUAUGAUCUUGGGAUUUUCUUGUUCAUUAAUCUGCUUAUUGUAGUUACAUAUCCUUUAUUACAGAAUGUAAUAAUUUGUUUUAUAAGUUUUGAUUGUGAGGUAAAUUAGUAAUACACGUGAAUAUAUGAAAUGAAAUCAAAUUUUAACAUAAAGAGAAUCAGUGGUUUGCACUCUGCAAAGUGAUUAUGGUCCUUGUAUCCCUGGUUGCUCAAUUUAAGAAAUGUUUUGUGGGGUUGUUUUUGUUAAAUAAUCAUUGUCAGGUUGGACCUGGACAUAGAAAUCAACUUCCUUUUCAAUUAAAUUGCCUGCAUUGCAUUAUUGAGCCACAUCAUGGAAUAAUUUCAUGAUCCUAAUCAGAAAAUAAAAUAAAAACUCGCAAACCAGAUGUAAUCAUAUAUCCUUUAAGUUCCAUUAAUUCAUAGGAAAAUUUUACUAGGAUUUUUUUAUACCAUAUGUUUCGUCCAUCACUAUAUUAGAAAAAUCGUAUUUGCUUUCAUCUUUGUAAUUGUGUUUUACCAGUGAAUGGUUAGUACCCCUAAUCACAUUUCAUAUUAUCGGUGGCACAGUCAAGUAAUGGUUAGUACCCCUGAUCACAUUUCAUAUCGGUCCUAAACCGUCAAGUAAUGAGAAAAAUAUAUCGACACAGAUUUAAAAAUGUGGUGGUAGCUGAUGGUACACACACUUAUAUGUAUAUAUUGAUUACUAAAGUUGGGUAGUAGUAUCCACAGAAUUUGUAGCUGAAUGAAUGGUUGUGUUGUUGGAUUAGGAGUGAAGGUGCUUGGUAGAGCUCUUAGCCAAAGUACAAAAAUGUGUCCCUGUUUUCACGUGUUUGAUCUUUUGUAAAGCUACCCCACCUCUAUGCCAUUAUAUGCUUCUAUCAUUUUCAUGCUCCCUCCGUAUUUGUUGCUAUAUCGAAUAAUUAAAAAAUAAAAAUCUAUUUUGUUAAAAUCAUCACAACUAGCCUGUUACACAGAUAGAGGUGGCAAAAUGUGGUUUUGGUUUUUAAUAAAUGUGGUUAUGGUUUUAGUUUGAAUUAUGGGUAAUUAGUUUAGUAAGUAAAAAUAAGUUUUAUAUAAUGAACAAAAGUUAAUACACUCAAAUCACAAUAUAAUGAAUACUAAAUAUAACAAUAGUAUGUGUGAGUGUGUGAGUUGAUGGAGUGGUUUAAACUCUUGGCUUCUCCAAUUAAGGUCAUGAGUUCGAAUCAUGAGAUGUGCAUGUGUGAUAAUUAGCAAAAGAAAGAAAGAAAAGAAAAGGAACAUAAUGGAGAGUUAUAAGAAAUCUUAAAAGUGAGACCAAAUGUGGUUAGAACCAUAUUUUGUGAGAAAUGUGAGACUAAAAACCAAACCAAAUCCAUUUUUCUAAAUAUGAUUUCAAAUGGAUCCAAAUUCACAAUUUUGGUUUGGUUUGGAUUGGUUUAAUGGUUUUGCAUCCAUAUUGCCACACCAGUCUUGAAAAAGACUCAAUCUUUGGAGGGUUACAAUCACCAGGGAUUCAAUCCUUUCUUCGAAUCUUCUACAGAUGCAGAGAUUAACAAGUUGAGAUUGUCACCACCUCCAAAGCUCAAGUUUCUCAAGGAUGCUGAGAUGAAACUGAUGAAUAAAUUGAUGGAAGAUGCUGUGAGAAAGUGCCAUGAGAAAGAUGCUACAUUUCUUACAGCUUCAGAGUCAAAUUCUACUGCUUCUUCACAGGUACUCC